UGAGAAUCUAUAAUCUUGUAAGAACUAAGAACUAUCUUAGACCAUAGAUUAAGCUUAAUCCAACGGCCUAGAUUAUAAAUUAGGCGAUUAAUUAAUUUACAAUCUUUAAUUUUAGUGCUGCGUUUUUUAUGAACAAGGGUAAUAAUGGAAAAUAUGUUUAAUGUCCUUAUGGUAUGAAUCAUCUUAAAUUUGAUAAAUCAGAAAUGAAUCCCUUAAUUAUAGGGUUGACUCCAUUUGUUUGAAUAAAAAAAAUUCACCUACACUAAAUAAGCUAUCAACAUCAAUCUAUUCAUCUCCACCGCCAUUUUCUACCUAUCAUAGCAAUAAAUAUUCAAGCUCUUACUCCACCAUUUUUUUAACUUUGUUCUUCAACUUUGUUCACGCCGGAAUCGCAAAAAGCGGCGAAUAGAAGACGCCUUUCACCUUGUUCACGCUGGGCUCGGAAGAGCUAGACCAUCCAAUAAGGAAAUAAUAUUGCAAAAUAAGUUGAUAGAAGCAUAGGCGAGAGGUAUGAAUUAAGUACUUGAACAAAUGAGGUAUGCUCAUUAUCUAUUUUUGAUCUAACUUGACAUUAUUUGCGGCCACAAAGUGGAGGCAAAGAGUUCUUCAUAAGGCACAAUUAUAUCGCUAGGAAAGUCAAGCGUGAGGCAGGUAAGAAUGAUGUACUAAUGUUCAUUAAAUUUAGUAAUAUUCACAAUAUUGUUGCUCUUGUUCACCAGUUAUUAUUCAUUAACUGAAAUUGUUCAUUAACUGUAUUGUUGUGCUUGUUCACAAGUUUAGUGUAAUAUUCACGAUAUUGUUGUGCUUGUUCAUGAGUUUCAUUGUUAUUGUUCAUUACCUUAAAUUGUUCAACAUAUAUAUUCAUUUCCAUUAUCGUGAACAGUUGGCACGAAGAGAAUGCACUCAUCCAAACCUGAUACGGCUGAACAAUCAUUGAUUUUUCGGCGACUUCCGUUGAAGCAACGAUAAUUUAUGAACAUCUAUGUUUUACUUUGGGAUUUUCAAUAAUGUAUUUGUUGUUAUUUUUUCCCGUUGCUUUCCGACGACUUGAAGAAAAAAAUUGUUGCGUACAAGGAUGGGUCGUUGUUGGUAUCAUUGUCAUUGUCGUUGUUGGGAUAUUCACGGUAUUGUUGUUUUUGUUCAAAGUGUAAUUUAAUGCUUAUUGUUCGUUACAUUUAGGAUAUAUUCAGUAGAUGUGGGAUAUUCAUUCAUGUAACUAGUGA